rnacentral:lncRNA from 1 species
GCCAGCCUUUUUGUGGAUUUUGCCCUUCAGAGGAAGACUUGCAGUCAUUAAAGUUUUGCACAUUUUAGUAACUGCCUAUGUUUUCAUUGCACAACGAAGGAAAUCUUAAAUGGAUUUAUGUACUAUGCUGAGAAUGUUGUGUAAUUGGAGAAUCCCUAAUCCAAAAGUCAGGAAUCUGAAAUGCUCCAAAUCCAAAUUCUCACAAGCACCAAUAUAGCACCACAAGUGGAAGGCAGGACACCUAACUUCAUAUGACAAAGCAGUCAGAACACAGGCAUAGGACACACCUUAGCUAGCAUCCCUGAGGGGAACAACACCUCUCACACUCACUUGUGGGGCAGACUUUAGUUGCUUGUGCAAAAUUAUUUGAAAUAUCAUAUGGAAUUACCUUCAGGCUGUGUGUAUAAAGUAUAUGUGAAAUACAAAUCAAUUUCAUGUCUAUACUUUGGUCUCAUCUCAAAGACAGCUCAUAAUGUAUAUGCAAAUAUUUCCAAAUAGGAAAUACUUCUAGUCCUAAGCAUUUUGGGUAAGGAUUACACCACUGAGUUCCCACAGUGUUGCUAUUAGUUGGAUUCUGUUAUUAUUUCCACUUUACAGAUGAAGCACACGAGGCCAUGCAUCUUACAGAUUACUCUUUCAAGAUCCAAGUAUGUCCUGGAGCUGGGAUUGAACUUAUGUGCUUCAUGAAUUGGUCUGUGUUACAGAAAUCAAGCAAAAUGCACAUUGUUUCUUGUACUUUUCUCUUUCUCUGAUUAUUUGUUGAAAAUGUUAACAACUUAGGUUGAUCUUUUAUU